rnacentral:rRNA from 1 species
AGAGUUUGAUCCUGGCUCAGAACGUACGCUGGCGGCACGCCUAACACAUGCAAGUCGAGCGGGGUAGCAAUACCUAGCGGCAGACGGGUGCGUAACAUGUGGGAAUCUGCCUUUUGGUUCGGAACAACAUGGGGAAACCUGUGCUAAUACCGGAUAAGUCCUAACGGAGAAAGUUUUAAUGCCAAAAGAUGAGCCCGCAUUUGAUUAGCUUGUUGGUGAGGUAAAAGCUCACCAAGGCUAUAAUCAAUAGCUGAUUUGAGAGGAUGAUCAGCCACACUGGGACUGAGAUACGGCCCAGACUCCUACGGGAGGCAGCAGUGGGGAAUCUUGCACAAUGGGCGAAAGCCUGAUGCAGCGAUGCCGCGUGAGUGAAGAAGGCCUUUGGGUUGUAAAGCUCUUUUGUCGGGAAAGAUAAUGACUGUACCCGAAGAAUAAGGUCCGGCUAACUUCGUGCCAGCAGCCGCGGUAAUACGAAGGGACCUAGCGUAGUUCGGAAUUACUGGGCUUAAAGAGUUCGUAGGUGGUUGAAAAAGUUGGUGGUGAAAUCCCAGAGCUUAACUCUGGAACUGCCAUCAAAACUUUUCAGCUAGAGUAUGAUAGAGGAAAGCAGAAUUUCUAGUGUAGAGGUGAAAUUCGUAGAUAUUAGAAAGAAUACCAAUUGCGAAGGCAGCUUUCUGGAUCAUUACUGACACUGAGGAACGAAAGCAUGGGUAGCGAAGAGGAUUAGAUACCCUCGUAGUCCAUGCCGUAAACGAUGUGUGUUAGACGUUGGAAAUUUAUUUUCAGUGUCGCAGCGAAAGCAAUAAACACACCGCCUGGGGAGUACGACCGCAAGGUUAAAACUCAAAUGAAUUGACGGGGACCCGCACAAGUAGUGGAGCAUGUGGUUUAAUUCGAAGAUACGCGCAGAACCUUACCAACACUUGACAUGUUCGUCGCGACUCUAAGAGAUUAGAGUUUUCGGUUCGGCCGGACGAAACACAGGUGCUGCAUGGCUGUCGUCAGCUCGUGUCGUGAGAUGUUGGGUUAAGUCCCGCAACGAGCGCAACCCUCACUUUUAGUUGCCAUCAUUAAGUUGGGCACUCUGAAAGAACUGCCAGUGAUAAGCUGGAGGAAGGUGGGGAUGACGUCAAGUCCUCAUGGCCCUUACGUGUUGGGCUACACACGUGCUACAAUGGUAUCUACAACAGGAAGCAAAACGGCAACGUUAAGCAAAUCCCAAAAAGAUACCUCAGUUUGGAUUGCACUAUGCAACUAGAGUGCAUGAAGCUGGAAUUACUAGUAAUCGUGGAUCAGCGUGCCACGGUGAAUGCGUUCCCGGGUCUUGUACACACCGCCCGUCACACCAUGGGAGUUGGUUCUACCUUAAGGCAAGGUUUUAAACCCUUGACCACGGUAUAGUCAGCGACUGGGGUGAAGUCGUAACAAGGUAACC